GAUGAACGCUGGCGGCGUGCUUAACACAUGCAAGUCGAACGGAAAGGCCCAAGCUUGCUUGGGUACUCGAGUGGCGAACGGGUGAGUAACACGUGGGUGAUCUGCUCUGCACUUCGGGAUAAGCCUGGGAAACUGGGUCUAAUACCGGAUAGGACGAUGGUUUGGAUGCCAUUGUGGAAAGUUUUUUCGGUGUGGGAUGAGCUCGCGGCCUAUCAGCUUGUUGGUGGGGUAAUGGCCUACCAAGGCGUCGACGGGUAGCCGGCCUGAGAGGGUGUACGGCCACAUUGGGACUGAGAUACGGCCCAGACUCCUACGGGAGGCAGCAGUGGGGAAUAUUGCACAAUGGGCGCAAGCCUGAUGCAGCGACGCCGCGUGGGGGAUGACGGCCUUCGGGUUGUAAACUCCUUUCGCUAGGGACGAAGCGUUUUUGUGACGGUACCUGGAGAAGAAGCACCGGCUAACUACGUG
rnacentral:rRNA from 1 species